rnacentral:tmRNA from 1 species
GGGGGCGUAAAGGUUUCGACGGGGACAGGGAAGCAAGAUUAGCGGGUAGUGUGGCGAAAACACUUAAAAAGUCGCAAAAAAAAUUAACUGACAAUAGAAAUAUUGCAUUAGCAGCCUAAUUUAGGCUGCCGUUCGACCCGGUAGAACUGCGGACCGGUUAGAGCGUCAUUUUAGCAGUGAACGUGAACGGCGGUUUGCUCCGCCCGCCGUCAUGAUUUUGGAGCUACCAAGCAGCGCGCUUUGGCAGCCGUGUGCGCUGUAAGGGAACUUUAAACAACUGCCUGCACCCGGAGAGAAUUUUGUGAAACUGUUUUCGGACGGGGGUCCGACUCCCCCCGCCUCCACCA